rnacentral:rRNA from 1 species
UACGGAGGGUGCAAACGUUGCUCGGAAUCAUUGGGCGUAAAGCGCACGUAGGUGGCUUGUUAAGUCGGGUGUGAAAUCCCUGGGCUCAACCCAGGAAGUGCACUCGAAACUGGCGAGCUUGAGUACUGAAGAGGGUCGCGGAAUUCCCGGUGUAGAGGUGAAAUUCGUAGAUAUCAGGAGGAACACCGGUGGCGAAGGCGGGUCUCUGGGCCGAUAUUGACGCUGAGGAGCGAAAGCAUGGGGAGCGAACAGG